rnacentral:rRNA from 1 species
UACGGAGGGUGCGAGCGUUGUUCGGAAUUACUGGGCGUAAAGGGCUCGUAGGUGGCCAACUAAGUCAGACGUGAAAUCCCUCAGCUUAACUGGGGAACUGCGCCUGAUACUGGAUGGCUUGAGUUUGGGAGAGGGAUGCGGAAUUCCAGGUGUAGCGGUGAAAUGCGUAGAUAUCUGGAGGAACACCGGUGGCGAAGGCGGCAUCCUGGACCAACACUGACACUGAGGAGCGAAAGCCAGGGGAGCAAACGGG